AAUAGCACUUAAUGUUUUAUCAAAAGAGAUAAAUAUACACUUAUACUCCAAUCGUAAAUUAAUUUAGACAUUAGGGUUUAGAGUUAAGGGGUAGGGUUUAGGAUUUAGGGUUUAGGGUUUAGGGUUUAGGGGUGAGGUUUAGGGUUUAGAGUUAAGGAGUGGGGUUUAGGAUUUAAGGUUUAGGGUUUAGAGUUUAUGUUUUAGGGUUUAGAGUUGGGGAGUUGGGUUUUGGGAUAAGAUUUCAAAUUUUGAAAAAUAAAAAAAAAAUUAAAUUUUUCAAAAGAUAAAAUGCUAUUUUGGUCAUUUUAGUUUUUGAAAGCUAUUUUUGUGACAUAAACUUAGAAAUGUGCUAUUUUGGAGAUUUAUCCAACGAAAAAUUACUCUAAUGACUAAAAAAAAGCUCUUGAAUCAGCUAGUAAAAAGCUAAAGAUCAUAUUGUUAAGUUUCGAUGAAAGAAAAAUGGGAAGAA
rnacentral:lncRNA from 1 species